rnacentral:lncRNA from 11 species
GUGCUAAAUUCAUAAAUACAGUAAUUACAACAUAAAUUCUCCCACUUGUGUCUUUAACCCCCCUUCCUGCAGCGACGCCAAAAUGCUGUGUUGCCAGCCACGCCCCCAUUGUUGGAAACGGAGGAGAAAGGCGGCUGAAUUUACUGGGGAAGAACUUUCCAACCUCAUUUAUCUAUCUGAGACGUGCCUAGAUUUCAAUGGGGAUUACGUGAGAUGUAGUAUUGGGAUGUGGCUUUCAGCUGCAUAUGUCACUCAGAACUACAUUCAAGAGUACUUAAGGGACAUGCACAUGUAAUCUCAGAAUGACUGCCAAUAAUCUUUCAAAAUUUGUGAAGAACAGCACACUCCCACCGGGUUGCAGAAGGACAAAUAUUCUUCUCAUCUUCAAAAACAGAAAAAAGACAUACAGUAAAAUCUCAAUAGCACAAUGAAAAAUGAGGGAAAUUCCUAACAUUGAGUUAAAAAACAACAACUAGACCUAUAUUUAGAGGGCAAGAAUGUUACAAAUAUCUGCAACUAAAAUUAUACCGUGUUUUACUCGAAGUGUUUAAUGCCAGUGCUAAUGCUUUUUUGCUUUUGCUUUUGGGUGUGUUUCUUUGCCAAGUACUUUUGCAUUUUUAUAUCGCCAUUUGUUCAGAUUUAUUUAUUUUAUUUUUUAUAUAAAUAUGGACACUUUAGCUUUGUUUUUGGUUUUUUGGUUUUUUUCCCCCUCUCUCUCCCUUUUUGAUCCUUUUUUAAUUGCAGUCUUCCUACUUUCUAUACAAUCAAAUGUUCUCACUCUUUUGAUGUGAAUUUACUCUAUCUUAUAAGGUAAAACUUCAAUAAAAUAUAUAUUUUAAAAUUUUAAAAUUAUAUUGUUAUGCUCUCGGUUGUCCAUUCUACAAUAUUCAAUAUUAGUCAAAAAGAUUGCAUACAUAUUACAGUGAGAUUCAGGGGGCCCUUUGGCAGGAUCUCCAUUUCUCCUAGAUAAUAUAAAAUAUUAAAUCAAAGUUCCCAAAGCUGUCUAUUCUAUUUCAAAUAAUGUCUUAAUUGCUGUAGCAGCAUCCCUAACACAGUGAGCAAACUCCUCUCUAUGAACAAAUAUUGAAUUGGCUCUCACAUUUCCAUUUUUUUGGUUAAUGCUAUUCUGCUGCCAUUGGAAAGAGAGAAAUUGUUUAUGUAGCAGUGUUGCAUUUAUUCUGGACAAGAUCUUUAAGAGCUCCAGUUCAGAUAAAACACACAA